AUCCAGCUGGCGAGUCCCAUAUAGGAUGAAUCACGCGUCCUGGAU
rfam:Schistosoma mansoni strain Puerto Rico chromosome 4, complete genome